UACGAAGGGGGCUAGCGUUGCUCGGAAUCACUGGGCGUAAAGCGCACGUAGGCGGAUUGUUAAGUCAGGGGUGAAAUCCUGGAGCUCAACUCCAGAACUGCCUUUGAUACUGGCGAUCUUGAGUCCGGGAGAGGUGAGUGGAACUGCGAGUGUAGAGGUGAAAUUCGUAGAUAUUGGGAAGAACACCGGUGGCGAAGGCGGCCAACUGGACCACAACUGACGCUGAGGCGCGAAAGCGUGGGGAGCAAACAGG
rnacentral:rRNA from 1 species